rnacentral:ncRNA from 1 species
GACAAUAAUGGGGAUGGGGUUCCCCCGAUAACCGCCGCGAAGGCUGAUGACUCCUACCGGGCG